GAACGGGUGAGUAACACGUGGGUGAUCUGCCCUGCACUUUGGGAUAAGCCUGGGAAACUGGGUCUAAUACCGAAUAGGACCACGCGCUUCAUGGUGUGUGGUGGAAAGCUUUUGCGGUGUGGGAUGGGCCCGCGGCCUAUCAGCUUGUUGGUGGGGUAAUGGCCUACCAAGGCGACGACGGGUAGCCGGCCUGAGAGGGUGACCGGCCACACUGGGACUGAGAUACGGCCCAGACUCCUACGGGAGGCAGCAGUGGGGAAUAUUGCACAAUGGGCGCAAGCCUGAUGCAGCGACGCCGCGUGAGGGAUGACGGCCUUCGGGUUGUAAACCUCUUUCAAUAGGGACGAAGCGCAAGUGACGGUACCUAUAGAAGAAGCACCGGCCAACUACGUGCCAGCAGCCGCGGUAAUACGUAGGGUGCGAGCGUUGUCCGGAAUUACUGGGCGUAAAGAGCUAGUAGGUGGUUUGUCGCGUUGUUCGUGAAAACUCACAGCUUAACUGUGGGCGUGCGGGCGAUACGGGCAGACUAGAGUACUGCAGGGGAGACUGGAAUUCCUGGUGUAGCGGUGGAAUGCGCAGAUAUCAGGAGGAACACCGGUGGCGAAGGCGGGUCUCUGGGCAGUAACUGACGCUGAGGAGCGAAAGCGUGGGGAGCGAACAGGAUUAGAUACCCUGGUAGUCCACGCCGUAAACGGUGGGUACUAGGUGUGGGUUCCUUCCUUGGGAUCCGUGCCGUAGCUAACGCAUUAAGUACCCCGCCUGGGGAGUACGGCCGCAAGGCUAAAACUCAAAGGAACUGACGGGGGCCCGCACAAGCGGCGGAGCAUGUGGAUUAAUUCGAUGCCACGCGAAGAACCUUACCUGGGUU
rnacentral:rRNA from 1 species